rnacentral:rRNA from 1 species
GGGAGGCUUUGAAGUGUGGACGCCAGUCUGCAUGGAGCCGACCUUGAAAUACCACCCUUUAAUGUUUGAUGUUCUAACGUUGACCCGUAAUCCGGGUUGCGGACAGUGUCUGGUGGGUAGUUUGACUGGGGCGGUCUCCUCCUAAAGAGUAACGGAGGAGCACGAAGGUUGGCUAAUCCUGGUCGGACAUCAGGAGGUUAGUGCAAUGGCAUAAGCCAGCUUGACUGCGAGCGUGACGGCGCGAGCAGGUGCGAAAGCAGGUCAUAGUGAUCCGGUGGUUCUGAAUGGAAGGGCCAUCGCUCAACGGAUAAAAGGUACUCCGGGGAUAACAGGCUGAUACCGCCCAAGAGUUCAUAUCGACGGCGGUGUUUGGCACCUCGAUGUCGGCUCAUCACAUCCUGGGGCUGAAGUAGGUCCCAAGGGUAUGGCUGUUCGCCAUUUAAAGUGGUACGCGAGCUGGGUUUAGAACGUCGUGAGACAGUUCGGUCCCUAUCUGCCGUGGGCGCUGGAGAACUGAGGGGGGCUGCUCCUAGUACGAGAGGACCGGAGUGGACGCAUCACUGGUGUUCGGGUUGUCAUGCCAAUGGCACUGCCCGGUAGCUAAAUGCGGAAGAGAUAAGUGCUGAAAGCAUCUAAGCACGAAACUUGCCCCGAGAUGAGUUCUCCCUGACCCUUUAAGGGUCCUGAAGGAACGUUGAAGACGACGACGUUGAUAGGCCGGGUGUGUAAGCGCAGCGAUGCGUUGAGCUAACCGGUACUAAUGAACCGUGAGGCUUAACCUUACAACGCCGAAG